rnacentral:lncRNA from 1 species
CGCCACUGCACUCCAGCCUGGGCGACAGAGUGAGACUCCAUAUCAACAAAACAAAACAAAACAAAAUUUACCUUUGAAUCCGUCUCAAAAGUGAAGGUCCAGCCUAGCAGAGUGCCAGACAUCAUGAGUCUUUAGAAUUCUAAGGAGCAGCAUGAGAAUUCUCAGGCCAAAGAAGAAUUUCGUCUCUGGGAAGUCCUGACUCUGCAUUAAUGAUGGACAUCAAUGUUUUCAGCUGCCAGACAGGUCCAUCUUCUCAAUUCCUGAGAUCCUAACUGUGACCCUGUCCAUCAGCCAGGUGAGCAAGCCUGGGCUAGUUAGCUGAAGGAUAAGAGACCAUGUGGAGGAAGCCAGAGGAGCCAUCCAUCUGGGGCCACCCAAGGUCAGCCAGCACCUCUAAUCACAGAGCCACGAGGGAGUUAGCCCAGAUUUAGAAGCAGAUACUGGUUGCAUUUUGCCUCUGCCCUAGAGAUUUGUGGAACUUCGAACUUGAGAGAGAUGAUUUACAGUACCUGGUGGAAGAAAUUUCAAAGCAGCAAAGCUUUCAAGAGGUGACUUGGGUGCUGUUAAAGUCAUUCAGUUUUAAAGGAAAACAGAGCAUAAAAGUUUGGAAAAUUUGCAGCCUGACAAUGAGAUAGAAGAGAAAAUUCCAUUUUCUGAGGAGAAAUUCAAGCCAGCUGCAGAAAUUUGCAAAAGUAAUGAGGAGCUGAAUGUUAAUCACCAAGACAAUAGGGAAAAUGUCUCCAGCGUGUGUCAGAGACCUUUGUGACAACCCCUCCCUUCACAGGCCAGGAGGUUUAGGAGGAAUAAACGUCUUAAAUAUUGGGUCAGGCCCAUGGUCCCUCCACUGUGUGCAGACUAGAGACUUGGUGCCCUGAAUCCUAGCCACUCUAGUCAUGAAUAAAAGGGGCCAAAGUACAGCUUGGGCUAUUGCUUCAGAGGGUGCAAGCCCCAAGUCUUGGUAGGUUCCACAUGGUGUUGAGCCUUCGGGUGCACAAAAGUCAAGAACUGAGGUUUGGUUACCUCUGCCUAGAUUUUGGAUGAUGCAUGGAAACGCCUGGAUGCCCAGGCAGAAGUUUGCUGCAGGGGCAGAGCCCUCAUGGGGAACUUCUGGUAAGGCAAUGAGGAAGGGAAAUGUGGGAUCAGAGCCACCACACAGAGUCCCUAAUGGGCACCACCUAGUGGAGCUGUGAGAAGAGGGCUACCGUCCUCCAAACCCAGACCCCAGAAUGGUAGAUCCAUCGGCAGCUUGCACCGUGCACCUGGAACAGCCAUCAACACUCAAUGCCAGCCUGUGAAAGCAGCUGGGAGGGAGGCUGUACCCUGCAAUGCCACAGGGGCAGAACUGCACAAGACCAUGGGAACCCAUCUCUUGCAUUAGCGUGACCUAGAUGUGAGACAUGGAAUCAAAGGAGAUCAUUUGGAGCUCCAAGAUUUGACUGCUGGAUUUUGGACUUGCAUGGGGCCUGUGGCCCUCUGUUUUGGCCAAUUUCUCCCAUUUGGAAUGGCUGUAUUUACCCAAUGCCUGUACCCCCAUUGUAUCUAGGAAGUAACUAACUUGCUUUCGAUUUUACAGGCUCAUAGGUGGAAGGGAAUUACCUUAUCUCAGAUGAGACUUUGGACUGUGGACUUUUGAGUUAAUGCUGUAAUGAGUUAAGACUUUGGGGGACUAUUGGGAAAGCAUGAUUGGUUUUGAAAUGUGAAAACAUGAGAUUUGGGAGGAGCCAGAGGCAGAAUGAUAUGACUUGGCUCUGUGUCCCCACCCAAAUCUCAUCUUGUAGCUCCCCUGCUUCCCAUGUGUUGUGGGAGGGACCCAGUGGGAGAUGAUUGAAUCAUUGGGGCUGGUCUUUUUCUGUGCUGUUCUUGUGGUGGUGAAUGCAUCUCAUGAGAUUUGAUGGUUUUGAAAAUGGGAGUUCUCUUCACAAGCUCUUUUUUUGCCUGCUGCCAUCCAUGUAAGACGUGACUUGUUCCUCCUUGCCUUCCACCGUGAUUGUGAGACCUCCCCAGCCACGUGGAACUGUGAGUCCAAUUAAACCUUUUUACUUUGUAAAUUGUCCAGUCUCGAGUAUGUCUUUAUCAGCAGUGUGAAAAUGAACUACCAUAAUAUGCAAACACACAAUUCAUGUUAUGCUCAGAUUCUUCCAUAGUCUAUCAAUAUCACUGACACAAAUUUAUGUUUCCAAAACAAGACUUAGAGCAGGACUGGCUGUGUAUCUAUUAGUGGCUAUUCAUGGGCAGGGCAAGUCAUGAACCACUGUACUUGUUCCAAGUCACCUAGCUGGUCAUUGGCAAAGCCAGGGCUGCAACCUAGCUCUCUAGAUGAAGAGCUGAACUAUCUUACCAGGCCACUAUGCUAUCAUAUCUGUUUGUGAAUACAAGGGAUAAAGUGCAGAACAUGGAAGUGCUUUGAAAGGUAUAAAGUGAUCAAUGUUAUAUGCAACUAGAAAGGCUAUGAGUCUUUUAUUUUGUUCUCUAUGACAAGAGAACAAUAUUUCCACUCUGUUUCUUGUUAUAAAUAACUUUGCCUAAUCCUCUAGAAAAGCAAGUAAGCAGAAACAAGUUAACUAAACCUUAGGUCAAGAGGGAAAUGGGAAGAACUAGCAAAAGGAGAUAAUAACUCUCAGGGAUGGAAGCACCUAGCCAAUUGGAAGGGUGUGAAAAAGCGUGGAAAUAGAAAAUGGGACUGACAAAAUGUACCUUUUCUCUUACAAAUUAACUUGUGUCUUUGUGACGACAGCAUGUUUGGGUCAAGAGUUCUUGACUUUUGAAAUAUAUCAAAAUUCUUAAGGAGAAAGUUUUAUAAAAAUAGAGGUGUUUUUUUUGUGUGUGUGUAUAUGUGUGUGUGUAUAUAUGUGUGUGUGUGUAUACAUAUAUAUAUAUAUAUAUUUUUUUUUUUUUUUUUUUGAGACAGAGUUUUGCUCUUGUUGCCCAGGCUGGAGUGCAAUGGCGCGAUCUUGGCUCAUUGCAAUCUCCACCUCCCGGGUUCAAGCAAUUCUCCUGCCUCAGCCCCCCAAAUAGCUGGGAUUACAGGCAUAAGCCACCAGUCCUGGCUAAUUUUGUAUUUUUAGUAGAGAUGGGGUUUCUCCAUGUUGGUCAAGCUGGUCUCUAAAUCCCGACCUCAGGUGAUCCGCCCACCUCGGCCUCCUGAAUUGCUGGUGUUAAAGGUGUCAGCCACUGAGCCCAGCACAUAAAUACAUAUAUUUAUUAAGAGAAGGUGGUUCAUGUGAUUAUGGAGGCUGAGAAGUCUCACAAUUUGUUGUCUGUAAGUUAGAAACCCAGGAAAUCUGGUGAUGAAUACAGAUUGGAUCAGAGAACCGGGGAGCAGAUGGUGUGAAUCCCACCUGGAAAGCCAGAGAAGAUGAGAUGAAAUGAGACAUCACAGCUCAGCAGUGAGGAAAGACAAACUGGGUGAAUUCCUCCUUUCUCCACCUUUGGUUGGUUUCAGGCCCUCAAAAGACUGGAUGAUUCCCAAACACACUGGAGAGGACAAUCCACUUUACUGAGUCCGCUGCUUCAAAUGCUAAUCUCGUCUAGAAAUACCCUCACAGACACACUUAGAAAUAAUGUUUCAUCCAGACACCCCUUGGCCAGUCAAGUUGCCACAUAGAAUUAACCAUCAUACUCAGUACUACUCAUUUAGAAUUUCUGAUAAUAGGGCACAAGUAUGUGUAUUUGUUAGGGCCAAGUGGCUUUGUUGAGCCUUUUGAGAAAAUAACUAUGAGAAGGGGAGAUUUUGUAACCUGAAGACCAUCACUUAGCCCUAAGGAAGACUACCUCAUUUAUUGGCCUAAAAUCAGAAUUGAUGAAUGGUCUGUUGAUCAUGAUUGCAAAUAUGUCUCUAGUGGUCAGAGUAUAUACCAAUGACUUUUUUUAAAAAUGCAGUUCCUUGUUAAAUGUUAAAUGCAGCUCCUUCCAUAACUCCCUUCCUAUCCAUGGAAAAGGAAGCUAUGGCAGGAACUGCAUUUAACAUUUAACAAGAAUAUAUUUCUGUAUAUAUCCAGAAGUAUAUCCAUAUACUACACUACAGAUAUGUUUCUCUUUUCCCCACAGUCAACCAUUUUAGUAGGCUCAGUUGGGGUACUUUUAUUUGAAUGUGUUACUGAGUUUGUACAUUUUAAAUUUUUAUAGAUGAUAUUGUUAUACUGCUUAUUCUUCUUCCAGUGUUUUCCACUAGGUCCUGUAUUAUUAAAAUCCAGUCAGAUUGCUUUAUAGUCAGUUAAUCCAUUGCUUCUACUAAUGAUUUCAAUGGUGUGUCUAUAUGGUAAAUUUCAGUAGUUGAUCCAGAUCUGUAUCUCUUCCUGUAUUUAUGCCCUUUGCUAAGUAAAUUUUCAGGUCCCUCCCACGUGGACAGAGUGACCUGCCCCAUCCCUUGAAACUGGUCUUGGCCAUGUGAUUUGCUUUGUGAUAAAUGCUGACUUGAUAUAAGCAGAAGCUUAAAAAAGCAUUUGUGUGUUUCCACUAGUUCUUGUACCUCUGUCAUUGUAAUGAAAAGACAUACUCAGCUUAACCUACUGGUCCCAGGAAGAGGAUGAGCAAUAACGUGGAACAGAGCCAACCUAGACGUGUAUAAGUAAGCCAGCUGAACUGUGAAUGUAUGAGCAAGUCAGGCCCAGAUCAAUGGAAUCCCACAGAUGCAUGAGAAAUAAAUGCAUGCUAUUGAGAUUUUGUGGUUGUAUGCAACAUUAUUGUGGCAAUAACUAACCAAUAGACUGUACUAUGAGAAUUUGUAUUCUCUUGCUGAUUUUGAAUUCAGGAUGUCAAUUAUGGGAAGGCUAAUCAUUUGACUCAAGAAUAAAACAACUU